AAGAUUGGGACGGCAAAUUAUCUCGGAAGAUGUUUUUCAAAAAAAAAAGUUUCAAACAAAAUAGUCUGUCCCAACCUUUUUUGAACACGUACCCUACAGAUAUAGCGGAUGUACGGCCAAGUAUCGACUAACAAUGCAAUCUAAAUACUUAACGAAAUGCUUGGAGUAGGAAACAAUGACAGUGGACCAUUGCUUGACAAAUGGGAUAUUACGGCCGGACGUUUCUGCAGAGGUACCGGGGUAACAUAAACGACGCGUUGUCCUUCUUCUGCCCAAUACGUCGCAGCCUACGCAGGAAAAUGCGUUUUCCGCUUUGUAUGAAAGUUCGUAGGAAUGGUGAAAUAUCGAGAAAUAAACGCGAUUUCGGCGACACCGUGACACAGUUGGUCAUGUUAGAAUCCCUUGGAUUGGACAAAUAAAUUGCGUACAUACCUCAAA